rnacentral:ncRNA from 2 species
GCUUGUUCUCAGGGCAGGGUGAAACUCCCGACCGGCGGUAAUCCUUCCCUUUCACGGGGGGGACAGCCCGCGAGCGCCCUUUGCCGGUGGUGAAGGGGUCCAGCAGAUCCGGUGCGAAGCCGGAGCCGACGGUAUAGUCCGGAUGGAAGAGAACGAGG